CGAGCGGCGGCCAGCCAGCCCCUAGCCCGCCCCGCCCCUCAGCAGCCGCCUCUCAGCCGGGGGCUGCACACUGACCUGACGCGAACUUCGGUCGGGGGCCGCCAGCCUGGGCCACCUGUACAACGACAGCCUGCUCCGGGGCUUCCUGAGGAGGUGCCUGCCCGCCGAGGUUCAACAGCUUCCGAGAGCAGGACAUCUUUUCCUCUCAGCCUGGCGCUCUGCAAUGGAGGCCAUAAACAGGCCAGUAGUGAAAGCUACAGAACACGUGAGCAUGGCAGGGGCUGAGCUCCAUUUCAAGAUAUGGGUAAGAAGAGGGAUGCUGUUGCCUUGGAGCUGCCAGGCUGCAUGGCAGACAAGCAGGAUUCCUGCUGCCUCCCAUGGAGACUACACUGGAACGCAGGUCUUGCCCUGUCAUCCAGGCUGGAGUGCAAUAGAUCUUGGAUCACUGCAACCUCCACCUUCCAGGCUCAAGUGAUCCUCCUGCCUCAACCUCCCAAGUAUCUGGGACUACAGUUCGAGGAAAGAAGAAAACUUAUUAUUUAAGAGCGAUGCAAAAUGAAAGCCAAGGCCAAGGACUUACUUUCCCGGAUCUGGCAUCUGAGUGCACAGCAACCGCAGAGACUGAAAACUCCUCCGAAUAGAAUGAAUGUUUGCCAUCCCCAUAAACACAACUUCACAGUUUGGGUAAUACUCUGGAGAGAGUAACAAUAAAGAGAACACAAAUACGUUGAAUUUAAAGCCCACAUGGCCAAAUUUAAAAGCAAACUGGCUAUAAAACCCACUGCAGCUUCUGAUUAAUGAAACUGAAAUGUUUUGAAAUGCUUAACUAUUAGCCCAAUCCUUUAUAAUAAGAACACACUGAAUUUUAGGUAUCUUUUCAAAAAGGGUUUCUGAAAAGGUUAGAUUUGUAAAGAAGAUACUGACAUAAAAUAAAAGCUAUUAUUUUUUAAAAGAAA